GCUGGCGGCGUGCUUCAGGCAUGCAAGUCGAACGAGAAAGUUCUCUUCGGAGGACAAGUAGAGUGGCGCACGGGUGAGUAACACUUAGGUAACUUGCCCCUUCACUGGGGAUAACCAGAGGAAACUCUGGCUAAUACCGAAUGACUCUACUCUUUCUUCGGAAAAAGUAGAGAAAGCCUUCGGGCGCGAAGGGAGAGGCCUGAGUCCCAUUAGCUUGUUGGCAGGGUAACAGCCUACCAAGGCUACGAUGGGUAGCUGGUCUGAGAGGAUGAUCAGUCACACUGGAACUGAGACACGGUCCAGACUCCUACGGGAGGCAGCAGCUGGGAAUUUUGCGCAAUGGGCGAAAGCCUGACGCAGCAACGCCGCGUGGGUGAAGAAGGCCUUCGGGUUGUAAAACCCUUUCAGCAGGGAAGAAAAAAAUGACGGUACCUGCAGAAGAAGCACCGGCCAACUCCGUGCCAGCAGCCGCGGUAAUACGGAGGGUGCGAGCGUUAUUCGGAUUUACUGGGCGUAAAGGGCGCGUAGGCGGUCUGGUUAGUCUGAUGUGAAAGCCCUCGACUUAAUCGAGGAA
rnacentral:rRNA from 1 species